GACGAACGCUGGCGGCGUGCCUAACACAUGCAAGUCGAGCGGAGUUAGUUUGUAGCUUGCUACAAACUAACUUAGCGGCGGACGGGUGAGUAACGCGUGGAUAACCUGCCUUUUACAGGGGGAUAACACAGGGAAACUUGUGCUAAUACCGCAUAACAUAUAGAAGUGGCAUCACUUUUAUAUCAAAGGAGCAAUUCGGUAGAAGAUGGAUCCGCGUCCGAUUAGCUAGUUGGCGGGGUAAAGGCCCACCAAGGCGACGAUCGGUAGCCGAACUGAGAGGUUGAUCGGCCACAUUGGGACUGAGACACGGCCCAGACUCCUACGGGAGGCAGCAGUGGGGAAUAUUGCGCAAUGGGGGAAACCCUGACGCAGCAACGCCGCGUGAAGGAUGAAGGCUUUCGGGUUGUAAACUUCUUUAGUCGGGGACGAAAAAAUGACGGUACCCGAAGAAUAAGCCACGGCUAACUACGUGCCAGCCGCCGCGGUAACAC
rnacentral:rRNA from 1 species